GCGGGUUGGUGAGACUGGGUUCAGAGAGGUUGCUGCAUACCUGCUUGACUAUGAUAACUUCGCCAAUGUCCCCCCUACAAUCCUCGUUAAGAUAACCCAUUCAAUUUUUCAUGUCAGUGAAGGGAUUAGUUGUACUAUUAACAAAACUCCAGACAAGAAUCCACCUGUUAGUAAGAUCGCUUCAUUCCAGCAGUUUGUCCCCCAUGACUCUGAUGCCAGCG
rnacentral:misc_RNA from 1 species